rnacentral:misc_RNA from 1 species
AGCAAAAAUGUUUUCUCUGAUAGUGUUGAAAUCAAUGGUGAGGUUGUAAAUGAAGAUCUUUGGUGUGGGAAGGUGGUGGGAGAGCAUGGUCAUGUGUUGCAACUAUGACACAGCGUUUGUUAAAGAAAACACCCACUCCACAGGCAAGAGAGAGAUACUGAAGAAGAAAACUCUGCUGGAAUUUUUUUUGAUAAAAGCGAAGCUGAAAUACACAGAUUUGAG